AAACACAUACACCAUCUCUUUCUUCACAACAUACAUAUCAACUUACCUCUCAUCUCAACCUAUAAACUACCAAACCCAGUCGGUGUUCUCUUCUCAUCCGAUGAACCUUCCCUCCGUCUCACACUAUAACGUGCCACUAACCUCCAUCUUACCUCAUACACUCCAACACAACCUUCAUACUGCAUAACUCACAUCAACUCCUUCACAAAAUAAC
rnacentral:lncRNA from 1 species